rnacentral:rRNA from 1 species
GUUUGAUCCUGGCUCGAAUGAACGCUGGCGGCAGGCCUAACACAUGCAAGUCGAACGGAGUUAUAUUGUAGCUUGCUAUGGUAUAACUUAGUGGCAGACGGGUGAGUAAUGUAUAGGAAUCUACCUAGUAGUACGGAAUAAUUGUUGGAAACGGCAACUAAUACCGUAUACGCCCUACGGGGGAAAAAUUUAUUGCUAUUAGAUGAGCCUAUAUUAGAUUAGCUAGUUGGUGGAGUAAUAGCCUACCAAGGCAAUGAUCUAUAGCUGAUCUGAGAGGAUGAUCAGCCACACUGGAACUGAGAUACGGUCCAGACUCCUACGGGAGGCAGCAGUGGGGAAUAUUGGACAAUGGGCGAAAGCCUGAUCCAGCCAUGCCGCAUGAGUGAAGAAGGCCUUUGGGUUGUAAAGCUCUUUUAGUGAGGAAGAUAAUGACGGUACUCACAGAAGAAGUCCUGGCUAACUCCGUGCCAGCAGCCGCGGUAAUACGGAGAGGGCUAGCGUUAUUCGGAAUUAUUGGGCGUAAAGGGCGCGUAGGCGGAUUAGUAAGUUAAAAGUGAAAUCCCAAGGCUCAACCUUGGAAUUGCUUUUAAAACUGCUAAUCUAGAGAUUGAAAGAGGAUAGAGGAAUUCCUAGUGUAGAGGUGAAAUUCAUAAAUAUUAGGAGGAACACCAGUGGCGAAGGCGUCUAUCUGGUUCAAAUCUGACGCUGAGGCGCGAAGGCGUGGGGAGCAAACAGGAUUAGAUACCCUGGUAGUCCACGCUGUAAACGAUGAAUGUUAAAUAUGGGAAGUUUUACUUUCUGUAUUACAGCUAACGCGUUAAACAUUCCGCCUGGGGACUACGGUCGCAAGAUUAAAACUCAAAGGAAUUGACGG